rnacentral:rRNA from 1 species
GAUGAACGCUGGCGGCGUGCCUAAUACAUGCAAGUCGAGCGAACGGACGGGAAGCUUGCUUUUCUGAUGUUAGCGGCGGACGGGUGAGUAACACGUGGAUAACCUACCUAUAAGACUGGGAUAACUUCGGGAAACCGGAGCUAAUACCGGAUAAUAUUUUGAACCGCAUGGUUCAAAAGUGAAAGACGGUCUUGCUGUCACUUAUAGAUGGAUCCGCGCUGCAUUAGCUAGUUGGUAAGGUAACGGCUUACCAAGGCAACGAUGCAUAGCCGACCUGAGAGGGUGAUCGGCCACACUGGAACUGAGACACGGUCCAGACUCCUACGGGAGGCAGCAGUAGGGAAUCUUCCGCAAUGGGCGAAAGCCUGACGGAGCAACGCCGCGUGAGUGAUGAAGGUCUUCGGAUCGUAAAACUCUGUUAUUAGGGAAGAACAUAUGUGUAAGUAACUGUGCACAUCUUGACGGUACCUAAUCACAAAGCCACGGCUAACUACGUG